UACGUAGGGUGCGAGCGUUGUCCGGAAUUAUUGGGCGUAAAGAGCUCGUAGGCGGUUUGUCGCGUCGACUGUGAAAACCCGAGGCUUAACCUCGGGCCUGCAGUCGAUACGGGCAGACUAGAGUUCGGUAGGGGAGACUGGAAUUCCUGGUGUAGCGGUGAAAUGCGCAGAUAUCAGGAGGAACACCGGUGGCGAAGGCGGGACUCUGGGCCGAUACUGACGCUGAGGAGCGAAAGCGUGGGGAGCAAACAGG
rnacentral:rRNA from 1 species